UACGUAGGGCGCAAGCGUUGUCCGGAAUUAUUGGGCGUAAAGAGCUCGUAGGUGGCGUGUCGCGUCUGCCGUGAAAGCCCAUGGCUUAACUGUGGGUCUGCGGUGGGUACGGGCAGGCUGGAGGCUGGUAGGGGCAAGCGGAAUUCCUGGUGUAGCGGUGAAAUGCGUAGAUAUCAAGAGGAACACCUGAGGUGAAGACGGGUUGCUGGGCCAACACUGACGCUGAGGCGCGAAAGCCAGGGGAGCAAACGGG
rnacentral:rRNA from 1 species